UGGGGAAUCUUGCACAAUGGGGGAAACCCUGAUGCAGCGACGCCGCGUGAACGAUGAAGCCCUUCGGGGUGUAAAGUUCUUUCGACAGGAACGAUAAUGACGGUACCUGGAGAAGAAGCUGCGGCUAACUACGUGCCAGCAGCCGCGGUAAUAAGUAGGCAGCGAGCGUUGUUCGGAGUUACUGGGCGUAAAGAGUGCGUAGGCGGCGAGCCAAGUUUGGUGUGAAAUCUCCCGGCUUAACCGGGAGGGUGCGCCGAAAACUGGUUGGCUGGAGUAUGGGAGAGGAAAGCGGAAUUCCUGGUGUAGCGGUGAAAUGCGUAGAUAUCAGGAGGAACACCUGCGGUGUAGACAGCUUUCUGGACCAAAACUGACGCUGAGGCACGAAAGCGUGGGUAGCAAACA
rnacentral:rRNA from 1 species